GUGGGGAAUAUUGGACAAUGGGCGAAAGCCUGAUCCAGCCAUGUCGCGUGUGUGAAGAAGGUCUUCGGAUUGUAAAGCACUUUAAGUUGGGAGGAAGGGUAGUAACCUAAUACGUUGCUACUUUGACGUUACCGACAGAAUAAGCACCGGCUAACUUCGUGCCAGCAGCCGCGGUAAUACGAAGGGUGCAAGCGUUAAUCGGAAUUACUGGGCGUAAAGCGCGCGUAGGUGGUUCAGUAAGUUGGAAGUGAAAUCCCCGGGCUCAACCUGGGAACUGCUUUCAAAACUGCUGAGCUAGAGUACGGUAGAGGGUGGUGGAAUUUCCUGUGUAGCGGUGAAAUGCGUAGAUAUAGGAAGGAACACCAGUGGCGAAGGCGACCACCUGGACUGAUACUGACACUGAGGUGCGAAAGCGUGGGGAGCAAACAGGAUUAGAAACCCUGGUAGUCC
rnacentral:rRNA from 1 species